rnacentral:rRNA from 1 species
CCUACGGGAGGCUGCAGUGGGGGAUAUUGCACAAUGGGGGAAACCCUGAUGCAGCGACGCCGCGUGUGGGAAGACGGUCCUCUGGAUUGUAAACCACUGUCCCCAGGGACGAAGAUGACGGUACCUGGGGAGGAAGCGCCGGCUAACUACGUGCCAGCAGCCGCGGUAAUACGUAGGGAGCGAGCGUUGUCCGGAAUUACUGGGUGUAAAGGGAGCGGAGGCGGGACUGCAAGUUGGGUGUCAAAUCUACCGGCUCAACCGGUAGCCGCACUCAAAACUGCAGUUCUUGAGUGAAGUAGAGGCAGGCGGAAUUCCUAGUGUAGCGGUGAAAUGCAUAGAUAUUAGGAGGAACACCAGUGGCGAAGGCGGCAUGCUGGGCUUUUACUGACGCUGAGGCUCGAAAGUGUGGGGAGCAAACAGGAUUAGAUACCCGUGUAGUC